CAGUGCCUAUAGUUGACUUUUUACGGAAAAUAUCGGUCAACAAAAGGGAACAACUGAUUUCUGCGUUGCAACUACGAGCGUAAUUUUGACAAAUUUGGUUUGAUAUGGCCGGUAAGUACCGAUAGGAGGAAUGUCGGUGACUGUUUGAAGCAUUAGUAUUGCCAUCAGCCAAGAAGGUAGAUAAUACUUUAAUAUAAUAAAUAUUAUUUAUUAUUUAACUCGCGCUAACCUCAUUGAUGACCUAUCAGUCUCUCACAGAUCUACAAAAAAAAUUUUUUUGCGUAAUGGUUUUACCUAAUACAUUCUGGUUAUAUAAGCAAAUAUAUAUGAGUAGGGACGAUGACAAAUCGAAAAUAUUUGCAUCAGCAAUUAUAGCGAUUUAACCAUUUUCGAUUUUCGUGUCCAUAUAAUGUUCGCGGGCCAUUGCAGUCAAAAGAGAAGGAAGAGCACGGGAGAUAGUGUCGCUUACAUCGCUCGUUGCUACAAAAUGUCUUCGAGAAGUUGUAAACGAGACCCUGACUCGAUUCGCUAUAUUUGUGGCAAAUUUUUUGAAAUGAUGAUUUAAGUAAAAGAUUUGCGAAGCAUAACAAGCUGACUUCAAUCUACCUGUUAAAAAUCCGGACAAAAAUGGGUCCACAUGUGUCAUCUAACUCUUGCAGAUAUGUUCUAGAUGGAAGAGUAGAUUAUACCGCUCCACCCGGGAAACUAAUGGCACGCCCCACACCAUAUGAUGACAUCCGACCUCACCAACUAUACAAAAGAAAUUGGAUCAUCAUUCGCGAAAACAAUUCGUUUCGUCAACCGGCCUGAGCGACACGUCAACAUUCGAUGCGACAGUACGUGUCGACGCUACAUUCAGCGACCCUUAUUCCGAUAAUUCUUAAUAAAAAUGUAUAUCUUUAGAACUUGAUUAUGUAAAAUCACAUUAAUCCAAUUCGAAAAAUAAUAUAAAUUGUGCAACCAAAUAAACAAGC